rnacentral:lncRNA from 1 species
CGCCCCCCUAGCUUCGGUCGUGAACGUGCUUUGAAGGGCUUAGUCUUGGGAGAGCGAAGUGUUGAGCCGCCUGGCAAAUACAGGUGGCUGAAGCAUGUUCCGUACUCUGCAUAAACUUUGAAGAUUCUGGAAGGUGGUCAGGAAUCUACUCACGAAAGAUGCGCCUGCUAACUUUUGCUGACAAGGAAUGAGAUCUGAAGCUGAGUGGGAAUGGCUUGCAGGAUGAGUUGCACAG